GACGAACGCUGGCGGCGUGCUUAACACAUGCAAGUCGAACGGAAAGGCCCCUUUGGGGGUACUCGAGUGGCGAACGGGUGCGUAACACGUGAGUAACCUGCCCUUGACUUCGGGAUAACUUCAGGAAACUGGGGCUAAUACCGGAUAGGAAUCCUUGCUGCAUGGUGGGGGUUGGAAAGCUUCGGCGGUUUUGGAUGGACUCGCGGCUUAUCAGCUUGUUGGUGGGGUAGUGGCUUACCAAGGCUUUGACGGGUAGCCGGACUGAGAGGGCGACCGGCCACAUUGGGACUGAGAGACGGCCCAGAUUCCUACGGGAGGCAGCUGUGGGGAAGCUUGAACCAUGGGCGGAAGGCUGGUGCAGCAACGCCGCGUGCGGGAUGACGGCCUUGGUGUUGUAAACCGCUUUCAGCAGGGGCGAAGCUUGUGGUGACGGUACCUGCAGAAGAAGCACCGGCUAACUACGUG
rnacentral:rRNA from 1 species